rfam:Cricetulus griseus cell line CHO-K1, whole genome shotgun sequence.
CAAAGUGAGAGCAUUUGGUGGUGAGAUCUGUCACAUACCAUUUCUCACCAAGGUUGACUGGUUGGUCUGGUUGGCUAUAUGAGUGACACCUUCCUCUGUCACUACUUAAUAUUGGUCCUUCCUGUUGGUGCUGGCUUGAUUAGGAGCAUGCCUUCCCCAACAGAAGAGGAUUAUUCCCCAGACAAGACAAGUGAGUAACUACACUCCCUGCUAGAACCUCCAGACAAGCAAGCAAACUCUCCAGGCCCUUUAUAAGAGGACAUUAGUUAGUCAGAGUUGUUUUUAGA